rnacentral:lncRNA from 1 species
AAGUGAGCCACCACGCCUGGCCCUGACAUGUCAUUUUAAAUCUAUCGGAUUGGCAGAGUCCAAAGCAUUUGAUAACACUAUGUUACAAUAGUGUAGGUAAACACGUGCUCUCAUACUUUGCUUAUGAGUCUGUAAAAUGGUACUAUUUGUGGCUAGCAAUUUGUCAAUAUUUACUAAAUAUAAAAUAGAUCUGUCUCUGUCCCUCUAAUUCCACUUCUGAGAAAUUACUGUACGAUCUACUUAAAUGUAUACAAAAUAACAUAAAAACACUUAUCUAUGGAGGCAUUGAUGUAAUACCAAAUGAUUGGAAAUGAUCUAUUAUAAAUGUCCCCUAAUACGGGUUUGUUUUAAUAGUCCACACAAAGGAGCAUUCUAUAGCCUUUAAAAAGGAUGGGGACGGGAGCUAAGUGCAUUGAAACGAAGAGUCUUCCGUGUGGUAUAAGUGAUUAGAAGCAAGGUGUGUAAAGCCUGUUUCCCUUUGUGUGAAUAAGAAACAAACAAAAAAGGCUGGUGUAAGCAUAGUGGAUUAUCGGAACUUAUUAACAUCACUGUCACUAAAGUUGGUAUACAGCUUCCCACUGCUAAAUUUAACUGGCAAAAAACGAAACAAAACAAAACAUGUUUGCCGAGGCAGG